UGUUGGUUCUCCCGCAACGCUACUCUGUUUACCAGGUCAGGUCCGGAAGGAAGCAGCCAGAGCAGGCGACGUGUGUGCCGGGAUGUAGCUGGCAGGG
rnacentral:SRP_RNA from 1 species